AGAAAUCUUUUUUUUUUUUUUUUCAAAAAUCAUUUCCAAGAAAAUGGUUUUAAAACUUAAUGCCACAAGAAACCCUUUCCUAUCUUGUCUCUAACUCAUUCAAUCUCAUGAUAAAAUCAUAAAAAUAAGGCCAAAUGUUAUUAUUUUUUAAUAAUCUCAGUCAACUUGUCAAAAUUAUUAACAAUGGCUGUAAAAUUGAUAUUAAAAAAAUUGAAAAUAUAAGCAAAAGUCGGGAUAUUGUGGUCAUUUAACGUUAAAAAUAAAGGAAAACCAGCCUCAAACAUCCAAAAGCUUUUAGGCAAUUCUCGAAUCCUCUCCUGAGGCCAAGGGAACAAAAUCACCAAUUCAGAAGAUGAAGUCCACCUCAAAACGCUUGUGGGUGAAUCAAAGAGAAGUUAUCUCCCAAAUAAAAUGGGACUACUAUCAAUAUCAGCAAUUGAAAGACAUGUCAUUAGGAAGAAGUAAUAAUCAACAGAGAAGAAAGCAUAACGUAAUAAUACCUUAUAGGGCUUUGAAAUUAUAAGAGAAAUAAAGCAUCAAGAAAAAUGAUUGAGAACAGAGAUUAUUUCUCCAGCUCCUCUUAUUUCUAAUGCUCCAAGAUAGAAAUUUUUGCAUUGAAGAAAGAAUUCAAAAUCAAGCACAUGUCUUUUCUCUAGAGCUAACAAACUUAUGAGAAAAAAUAAUAAUAAUUCCAAAUAGACAAAAUUAAAAAAGAAGAAGAAGAAAAAGCAUAUCCGGCUUCUUCGCUGCUCCAGCUCCAGCGCUGGCAGAAUAAAAUCUCGAGAUGGAUUCCGAAACAUCUUCUGCUGCCGCUGGUUCUAAAAGUGACAAUAGCAAAACAGAUCCCAUUUGGAAACAUGUGCGUAUGUUAAAGCCACAAAAUACAAAUGAUAUUGUUUGCAACUCUUUUGACAAAGUUACAAAGGGAGGGAUAUACCAAGCUAAGAAGCGUUUGGUUGGCGGAUUUCGGAAUGUCACCAUGUGUAGGAAGCGUCCAGCUCUUGUAUGUGAAGAAAUGCAAGAGUAUAUGAAGAAAAAGGUUUUAAAAAAGGGCUUUGAUAAAAGUUCUUUUCCAGAUUUUGAAGAUGUUGAAAGGUUUAGUGAUGAUGAAAAUGAAGAUGAAAUUGCUGCAAACACAGGAGGCUCAUUGGAAGGAAGUAGUAAAGUUGCAGAAAUGAGAAAGAGGACAAGGACAAAGGGUCCUAUUGAUUUAUAUUUUGCUCAAAAUGCAGAAAUAGUGAUGCAAGAUAAGAAAAAUACAAAGAUGAAGCAAACCACUGCAAAUGAGGCACGUAAAAAGAAAUUGCGAGAAAAAGCAUGUAGGGCUAUAGCUCAGUGGAUGUAUGAUGCGGGAAUUCCUUUUAGUGCUGUCAAUUAUCCAAGUUUUCA
rnacentral:misc_RNA from 1 species